CCAGGAGAGUGGCCUUCCGCAUGGAAGGUUGACUAGAGAUUUAUCGGUAUGGGAUGAGCUUGCGUCCGAUUAGCUAGUUGGUGGGGCAACGGCCCACCAAGGCGACGAUCGGUAGCCGGCCUGAGAGGGUGAUCGGCCACAUUGGGACUGAGAUACGGCCCAGACUCCUACGGGAGGCAGCAGUAGGGAAUAUUGCACAAUGGGGGAAACCCUGAUGCAGCAACGCCACGUGUGGGAAGAAGCAUUUCGGUGUGUAAACCACUGUCAUGAGGGAAUAAGGCCCGCCUCCGGGCGGGAUUGAAUGUACCUUGAGAGGAAGCACCGGCAAACUUCGUGCCAGCAGCCGCGGUAAUACGAGGGGUGCAAGCGUUGUUCGGAAUUACUGGGCGUAAAGGGAGCGUAGGCGGAGAUUCAAGCGGAUUGUACAAUCCCGGGGCCCAACCCCGGUUCUGCAGUCCGAACUGGAUCUCUUGGAUAGUUCAGGGGCAGGCGGAAUUCCUGGUGUAGCGGUGGAAUGCGUAGAGAUCAGGAAGAACACCGAUGGCGAAGGCAGCCUGCUGGGGACUUAUCGACGCUCAUGCUCGAAAGUGCGGGUAGCAAACAGGAUUAGAUACCCUGGUAGUCCGCACCGUAAACAAUGCAUACUGGGUGUCCGGGGGUUCCCCCGGGUACCGUAGCCAACGCGUUAAGUAUGCCGCCUGGGGAGUACGUACGCAAGUAUGAAACUCAAAGGAAUUGUC
rnacentral:rRNA from 1 species